rnacentral:lncRNA from 13 species
CAGGCGGGUCCCCUCAGCCACCUGUGCCUCUUGGUCCUACUCCAAGUGGAAAACGCCUUUAGGUAAAACAACAAACUGGCCACCCUCUGUCCACUCACUGUGGACUGUGGGCCCAGGCUGGGCAUACCCUGCCCCACCUGCUGUGACAUCACACAGCCCCAUGAGGUCACCUGGGUGGCACACAGCACUUUAGAGCCAUGCGUGUGUCCACCACCUUAAUACUGGCUGCAUCAAGGAUGAACGCCCCUCAGAGGGACAGAUGUAGGGAGUUCCAGGUGCAAGACGCUGCUGGGGACACCACGGGCUGGGUCCCACCUUCCAUGCGGGACACCCCUGCCCCUUGCCCACCAAGCCCAGCUGUGGGUGCAGGCGCAUGAGUCCUCCCUGGGACACCCCUCUCCGCCAGCCAGCACUGGGUGCAGCAGGGAAGAAAACCAAGUCCCUUCCUUCCUGGGGAGGGGGCAGAGUGACACAGCUGCCUUGGACCAGACCUGGGCUGUGGGGAGAAAGGAAGCUCGGGGCAUGCAUCAGGUGUGUCCACGAUGUGAGCAGCCAUGGUCCACACUGGAACAUUUCAUCCUCCCAAAGGAAGCCUGGCCCUCAGGCAGCCACACGCUCCCAACCUAGGCAAUCCCCGGUCCACCUUCCGUCUCUCCAGAUCUGCCUUCGCUGCCACUUUACAUUCAUGGAGUCACACGAGACGUAGGUGUGUGUCUAGAUUUUUCAUGUUGCAUAAGGUUCAUCCACCAUGUAGCAUGUGUCAGAGCUUUGCUCCUUUUCACGGCUGGGUAAUAUUCCACUGCGGGGACUGCAGGAACAUGCCACUUUCACUUAUCCGUUCGUCUGUGGGUGGGCACUGGGUUGGGCCAACAUUUCAGCUUUUAUGAAGAAUGCUGUUGGGAACACUCAGUGUAAGUUUCUGUGUGGACGGAUAUAUUGACUUCUCUUUGGUGUAUCCCUAGGAGCAGAAUUGCCAGGUCACACGGUGUGAAGAACUCAAUGUUUGUGUCCCCCUAAAAUUGACCAGUCAGAAUCCCAAUCCUCAAGGUGAUGGGAUUAGGAGGUGAGGCCUUGGGAGGUGAUGAGGUCACGA